GACGAACCGUCCAAACGUUAUUCGGAAUUACUGGGCUUAAAGGGUGCGUAGGCGGCGCGGAAAGUAGGGUGUGAAAUCCCUCGGCUCAACCGAGGAACUGCGCCCUAAACUACCGUGCUUGAGGGAGAUAGAGGUGAGCGGAACUUAGGGUGGAGCGGUGAAAUGCGUUGAUAUCCUAAGGAACACCGGUGGCGAAAGCGGCUACACUGGAUCUCUCUGACGCUGAGGCACGAAAGCUAGGGUAGCGAACGGG
rnacentral:rRNA from 1 species